rnacentral:rRNA from 1 species
AUUGAACGCUGGCGGCAUGCCUUACACAUGCAAGUCGAACGGUAACAGGUCUUCGGAUGCUGACGAGUGGCGAACGGGUGAGUAAUACAUCGGAACGUGCCGAGUAGUGGGGGAUAACUACUCGAAAGAGUGGCUAAUACCGCAUGAGAUCUACGGAUGAAAGCAGGGGAUCGCAAGACCUUGUGCUACUAGAGCGGCCGGUGGCAGAUUAGGUAGUUGGUGGGAUAAAAGCUUACCAAGCCGACGAUCUGUAGCUGGUCUGAGAGGACGAUCAGCCACACUGGGACUGAGACACGGCCCAGACUCCUACGGGAGGCAGCAGUGGGGAAUUUUGGACAAUGGGCGCAAGCCUGAUCCAGCAAUGCCGCGUGCAGGAUGAAGGCCUUCGGGUUGUAAACUGCUUUUGUACGGAACGAAAAGCCCCAGGUUAAUACCCUGGGGUCAUGACGGUACCGUAAGAAUAAGCACCGGCUAACUACGUGCCAGCAGCCGCAGUAA